UGAGUACGAGAUGCUACGGCGUCGAAGCAGUCUAUGUCAUACUUCCAAGAAAAGCUUGCACUGUCAUAAACAAAGAAUGCCUGUACCAUAACCGACACAGGUGGGUAGGUAGAGUAUACUAAGGGGCGCGAGAUAACUCUCUCUAAGGAACUCGGCAAAAUGACUCCGUAACUUCGGGAGAAGGAGUGCCUUAUUUUUAAGGUUGCAAUAACAAGAUCCAAGCAACUGUUUACCAAAAACACAGGUCUCCGCUAAGUCGUAAGACGAUGUAUGGGGGCUGACGCCUGCCCAGUGCCAGAAGGUUAAAGAAGUUGGUUAGCAUUCGCGAAGCUGAUAACUGAAGCCCUGGUGAACGGCGGCCGUAACGAUAACGGUCCUAAGGUAGCGAAAUUCCUUGUCGGGUAAGUUCCGACCCGCACGAAAGGCGUAAUGAUUUGGAUACUGUCUCGGAGAGGGGCUCGGUGAAAUAGACUUGUCUGUGAAGAUGCGGACUACCUGCACCUGGACAGAAAGACCCUAUGAAGCUUUACUGUAACUUGAGAUUGAAAUUGGACUUUAUUUGCGCAGUAUAGGUGGGAGGCGUUGAGAAUAAUCUUGCGGGAUUAUGGGAGCCAUCAGUGAGAUACCACUCUUGUAAUGUUAGAUUUCUAACUUUGUAUCAUUAUCUGGUCAAAGAACAGUUUCAGGCGGGCAGUUUGACUGGGGCGGUCGCCUCCCAAAGGGUAACGGAGGCGCACAAAGGUUUCCUCUGAACGGGUAGAAAUCGUAUCUAGAGUGUAAAGGCAUAAGGAAGCUUGACUGUGAGACCUACAAGUCGAGCAGGGACGAAAGUCGGUCUUAGUGAUCUGACGGUGCUGAGUGGAAAGGCCGUCACUCAACGGAUAAAAGUUACUCUAAGGAUAACAGGCUGAUCUCCCCCAAGAGUUCACAUCGACGGGGAGGUUUGGCACCUCGAUGUCGGCUCAUCGCAUCCUGGGGCGGUAGUACGUCCCAAGGGUUGGGCUGUUCGCCCAUGAAAGCGGUACGCGAGCUGGGUUCAGAACGUCGUGAGACAGUUCGGUCCAUAUCCGGUGUAGGCGUUAGAAUAUUGAAAGGAGCCUUCUCUAGUACGAGAGGACCGAGAAGGACAUACCUCUGGUGUACCAGUUAUCGUGCCAACGGUAAACGCUGGGUAGCUAUGUAUGGAGUGGAUAACCGCUGAAAGCAUCUAAGUGGGAAGCCCACCUUAAGAUAAGUAUUCUCAUC
rnacentral:rRNA from 1 species